rnacentral:rRNA from 1 species
AGGGAAACCGAGUCUUAAUAGGGCGUCUAGUUGCAGGGUAUAGACCCGAAACCGAGUGAUCUAUCCAUGAGCAGGUUGAAAGUGACGUAACAGUUACCGGAGGACCGAACCCACUGUCGUUGAAAAGCCAGGGGAUGACUUGUGGAUAGGGGUGAAAGGCUAAUCAAACUCGGUGAUAGCUGGUUCUCCCCGAAAGCUAUUUAGGUAGCGCCUCGGACGAACACCAUUGGGGGUAGAGCACUGUUUCGGCUAGGGGGUCAUCCCGACUUACCAAACCGAUGCAAACUCCGAAUACCGAUGAGUGAUAUCCGGGAGACAGACGGCGGGUGCUAACGUCCGUCGUCAAGAGGGAAACAACCCAGACCGCCAGCUAAGGCCCCAAAUUCCUAGUUAAGUGGGAAACGAUGUGGGAAGGCACAGACAGCUAGGAGGUUGGCUUAGAAGCAGCCAUCCUUUAAAGAAAGCGUAAUAGCUCACUAGUCGAGUCGGCCUGCGCGGAAGAUGUAACGGGGCUCAAACUAGGAGCCGAAGCUGCGGAUUUAAUUGUUUCAAUUAAGUGGUAGGGGAGCAUUGUGUAAGCCUGUGAAGGUGUGUUGUAAAGCAUGCUGGAGGUAUCACAAGAGCGAAUGCUGACGUGAGUAACGACAAAACGGGUG